UAGAAAAUAGUGAACGGAUCACAAGAGAUUUUGACUCUCUAAAAUAAGGUUCAAUUCCUUUUUUUCUAA
rnacentral:tRNA from 1 species